rnacentral:rRNA from 1 species
UACGGAGGGGGCUAGCGUUGUUCGGAAUUACUGGGCGUAAAGCGCACGUAGGCGGCUUUGUAAGUUAGAGGUGAAAGCCCGGGGCUCAACUCCGGAAUUGCCUUUAAGACUGCAUCGCUAGAAUUGUGGAGAGGUAAGUGGAAUUCCGAGUGUAGAGGUGAAAUUCGUAGAUAUUCGGAAGAACACCGGUGGCGAAGGCGACGUCCUGGACCGGCAUUGACGCUGAGGCGCGAAAAGCUAGGGGAGCAAACGGG